rnacentral:rRNA from 1 species
UGAAACUCAAAGGAAUUGACGGGGGCCCGCACAAGCGGAGGAACAUGUGGUUUAAUUCGAUGAUACGCGAGGAACCUUACCCGGGCUCAAACGUUGCAGGAAGGGUGUCUGAAAGGAUGCCCGUCUACGGACCUGCGACGAGGUGCUGCAUGGUUGUCGUCAGCUCGUGCCGUGAGGUGUCGGCUUAAGUGCCAUAACGAGCGCAACCCCUACCGCCAGUUGCCAACAGGCAAAGCUGGGGACUCUGGCGGGACUGCCGGCGCAAGCUGCGAGGAAGGCGGGGAUGACGUCAAAUCAGCACGGCCCUUACGUCCGGGGCGACACACGUGUUACAAUGGCAGGUACAGCGGGAAGCCACCUGGCGACAGGGAGCGGAACCCGAAAGCCUGUCUCAGUUCGGAUUGGAGUCUGCAACCCGACUCCAUGAAGCUGGAUUCGCUAGUAAUCGCGCAUCAGCCACGGCGCGGUGAAUACGUUCCCGGGCCUUGUACACACCGCCCGUCAAGCCAUGGGAGUCGGGAGUGCCUGAAGUGCGUGAGCGCGAGCAGCGCCCUAGGGCAAAACCGAUGACUGGGGCUAAGUCGUAACAAGGUAGCCGU